CCCUGUCUUUGAUAACACUCUCGCAUAAGAGGUGCGUUCUACCACUGAUUCUCCUACUAGAAUCGCAUGGGACUUUCUGGACUCGCUUUUCUCGAGCGGCCAUACGUUCGAUUACUUAUCAUGCUUGAUGUAAGGGCUCAUGGCUUACACAAGUCUUUAACGGGUCUCAGACCAUAAACCGCCACCCUGCAACUUAGAACUGACACACACUCCUAACUCAUACAGCAGUGAGCAAUGUUGAAUAUUGCACAAAGCCCUAAUCCCUGAUUCCCCCACGCCUCAUGAAGGACUACGGCCUUCAGGUUACUUUUCUUUUUCACUUUUUCCCUAGGCUUCAUUUCGUUGUUGUAUAACAUAUCAGGAAAAAAAACUCCCGCUUACUUCCUGCCCACCACCCCCGUAAUUCCUAAGGAUGCAGCCUUGUCUCGAUUUUUCGGGCCUUAAAGGCUUGUCAGUCGCUUACUCCGUCUGCAUGUAAAUUCCCCAACUUAACUGUGGUAACGCGGUUCGUACCUGUGUCGCUAGAGUGUGUCAGAGGAGACUGGAAUUCCUGGUGUAGCAGUGAAAUGCGCAGAUAUCAGGAGGAACACCGAUGGCGAAGGCAGGCCUCUGGAACAUUAUUGACGCUCAGACGCGAAAGCGUGGGGAGCAAACAGGAUUAGAUACCCUGGUAGUCCACGCCCUAAACGAUGCCCACUAGUCGUUGUGAGGGUAGACUUCUGACAGUAAGGCACUUACCCCAGAAAGUGUCCCCCUGGGGGAGUCCGUUGCCAGGAUUAAAAUUCAAAGGAAUGGAGGGGGACCGGCCCAAGCGGUGGGGCAUGUGAUUAAAUUGGGCGAUACGAGAAGACCUUUCCGGUGACUGGCCAUAGUAAAUCUGUCUAGAGAUAGAGAGGCGUUGGGAGCAGAAAACUCAAUACAGGCAUGGCAGGGCUCUGGUCAGCUCGUGUGAUGAGAGGUUGGGUUAAGUAACGCAAGGAGCGCAACCCUCGUCAUUAGUUCAUCACAGUUAGCACUGAGAAGUGUAAUGAGACUGACAUACGCAAGUAAGAGGAAGAUGAGGUCGAGUCCAACGUCAUCAUGAUCACCAGGUCCAGGCAUGCCCUCCAAUUACAAGGGCGUAGGCUAAGAGCAGCAAUACGGGGAGGUGGUGUAAGUAUCAAGAUUAUAUUCCAGAUCGCAUUG
rnacentral:rRNA from 1 species